AUAUCUCUCUGUACGGGAAGGAUGAGAAGCUUCGACUAAGGUUCGAUUCGAGCGUCAGCGAGAAAGCGUUGCCGCAGGCAACGACCCGAAGGGCGAAGCGCGCAGCGCUGAGUCAUCCUUCCCCACCACCA
rnacentral:sRNA from 2 species